rnacentral:rRNA from 1 species
GACGAACGCUGGCGGCAAGCUUAACACAUGCAAGUCGAACGCCGUAGCAAUACGGAGUGGCAGACGGGUGAGUAACGCGUGGGAACGUGCCUUUCGGUUCGGAACAACUGAGGGAAACUUCAGCUAAAACCGGAUACGCCCUUCGGGGGAAAGUUUACGCCGAAAGAUCGGCCCGCGUUAGAUUAGCUAGUUGGUGGGGUAAUGGCCUACCAAGGCGACGAUCUAUAGCUGUUCUGAGAGGAAGAUCAGCCACACUGGGACUGAGACACGGCCCAGACUCCUACGGGAGGCAGCAGUGGGGAAUAUUGGACAAUGGGCGCAAGCCUGAUCCAGCUAUGCCGCGUGGAUGAAGAAGGCCUUAGGGUUGUAAAGUCCUUUCGUUGGUGAAGAUAAUGACGGUAACCAAAGAAGAAGCCCCGGCUAAUUUCGUGCCAGCCGCCGCGGUAACAC